AUUGAACGCUGGCGGCAUGCCUUACACAUGCAAGUCGAACGGCAGCACGGGAGCAAUCCUGGUGGAGAGUGGCGAACGGGUGAGUAAUGUAUCGGAACGUGCCCAGUCGUGGGGGAUAACGUAGCGAAAGCUACGCUAAUACCGCAUACGAUCUAUGGAUGAAAGCGGGGGACCGUAAGGCCUCGCGCGAUUGGUGCGGCCGAUAUCAGAUUAGGUAGUUGGUGGGGUAAAGGCCUACCCAGCUGACGAUCUGUAGCUGGUCUGAGAGGACGACCAGCCACACUGGUACUGAUCAACGGCCCAUGCUCCUACAGGAGGCAGCAAUGGGUAAUUUUGGACAAUGGGCGCAAGCCUGAUCCGGCAAUGCCGCGGGCAGGAUGAAGGCCUUCGUGUUGUAAACUGCUUUUGUACGGAGCGAAAAGGCUCUCUCUAAUACAGGGGGCUCAUGACGGUACCGUAAGAAUAAGCACCGGCUAACUACGUGCCAGCCGCCGCCGUAACAC
rnacentral:rRNA from 1 species